GAGAGGAGGCUCCCUCCUGAUUCUUUAGACCUUCACAAUUGGUCCCCUGUUCGUGGACUCGUGAGUGCCAUUAGUUUUGACUCUUGAGUCAUGAAAAUCAGGGCUUUGUCUGUCAGUGGACAAUGGCAUUAAAAGGAAUCGGGGCCCUUCAGAGAAUAUGCUAUUUUCUUGGGUUGAGGUAGAGAAAUGACUUGGUGUCCCUACACAUCCCAAAGAUGACAGAGAGGCCGUUUGAAUGAUUCGUCCAUUCGGAGCAGUCAUAGCUGGUGAAUGCUCACUUGGGAGACCCAGAAGGAACUGGGAUGGUUGAGGAAACAUGCCUGCAGUCUUAUUCUCAGAAGUGAGGUAGUGGGGGCUGAGGAAAAGAGAUCAGUUGUGGAGGAAGAGCUUCGAAGAUGAGGGGUCAGGAGGCAGGCAGAUCAGAGGUAAAGGGGCUAAAUAAGAGUGGACUCGCUAACCUGAGAGACAGGAGAAGCAGACUCUGACAGAGGCGGAAGGUGGCCAGUCAGCGUGGCAGACGGGGACCCAGUGAGAACCAAAAGUCCUGGCCUGGAGACUGGGGAAAUCGAAGGACAGAAGAGCGCCGUUAACUCUUCAAAAGAUUUGGGAUUUGUUUGGUAGGAUGGCAGGGGAUUGCUUGGAACCCCAAGGCCAUAGCUUUUUAAAAAUGUAUGGAUUAUGUCUUGAGGAAGCCCCUACAGAGACAUCUUGAGAGGGUAGCAGACCUUUUGAGGGAGGAGCUUGGUUUGCGUGACCAAUGGUUGCCACCUCCUGGGGGAAGACCAGAGCCUGAGACCAAGCAGGAUUGAUUGGUUUUGCUGUCUGUCACCAUGGGAGACUCCAGGAGACAAAAUCUAGAGGAAUAUGUCCUAAAAGGCAAGCGCUUGGGUUGGCAAGCAAGGAGGGAGUGAGAACAGGGAAAACAUUGAGAUCACCAGUUGUGGCCUGGCCUGUGGGAUAAAGAGGCCAAGACUUUUUCUGCCAGGGGCAGAAGUGGAGCUGAGUCAUUCUGGAGUGACAUUGCUCAAGCCUGGGAAGUCUGAGGAAGCACACGUGGAGAUACGUCCUCAGGCACUGAGAACUGUGCUGCUGCAGCAACAACGACUCCAAAGGCCAGGACUAUCCCAAGUGGACAACAGCCAGUGUCCAGGGCCCAUGCCCCAGAAACCGUGGUGAGCCUCCUAGACUGGAGGAGAAUUUCUCAGGGUUGAAGACACCUGGUGCGCAGUCACACAUGAGGGAACUGAGGCCAAGGCCAACGCUGAGGUGACAGACAGUAUUGAAGGUGACACAGCAUGACAUCUAUGGACUUUGAAGUCAUCUUAUGAAAUUACUGGACUUCCCUACUUGCAUAAAGAGCUUCAAGGACACACCUACUAUAGAGGAAAAAACCACAACUGUCUCUCUGUGCUAUAGGAAAUACUACAAUAUCCCUGACACAGUCAACUUCCCCCACCAACAAAGAGGAAUAUUUUAAAGGAAUAUCCGAAGUCUAUCUGGCAUUUUAUAGAAGUGUCAGAUUUCUUUUUCCUCCCUGGACUUUUUCAGCUUUUUAAAAUAUGUAGUUUCUAAGCCUGUAGGGAAAGAUUGUUCUCGACGUUGAGUGUUUUGCUUUUUCUCUUCAGCUGCAUUUUCACUCAGGAGUCUCCCCACCACCACCACCACCACCGGCUUAGCCCCAAACAUUGAUGGCUCUGUCCUCCAGCCACGCUAUGCGCUGCUUUCUAUAAAGGCUAUCUACUUCACUACAUUUCAACUGUUAAAAUGACGUGUCUUUUCCGGAGCUUACUAUGAAUCAUAACCCUCCAGUCACACAUGAGGAAAUGAAGACCAUUGCCGAGGGUGCCAGUAUUGAAGGUGACACAGCAUGACAUGAGAUGAUGUGCUUGUUAAGGGCAUUCUAAUUGGUGACAAAAAAAAAAAUGCACCAAAAUGCCUUGGUUCAUAUGGCUUCAUUAAGGACCCUCCCGGCUCUGUUCAAGCAAGAAAGAGCUGAAAUGACCUGCCUGAGAUCACUCAACUAGUAAGUGACAGACCCUUGCUUCAAAUCUAGGAGCAUGGAUUAAAGGGACUUUGGCAAGUAGAGGGUAUUGAGACCAGCACCCCCUCAAGUUGAUGAAUCCCUCGUGGCAAAUGGAGAAGGAGGAGGAGGAGGAGGAGGAAGAGGAGGAGGAGGAGAUGGUAGCGGCAGGCUGUGACCACAAGUUGCCUUCAAACCACUUCUCUUCACAGUGGUUCUCAAAACCCGAGGGUUUGAGUCCACAAUGGUGAGGAAGGCGUGGUGGCAGCUGCUGAAGCAGAGAGCUGAGAAAUCACUCCUCCAACCGAACACAGAAGGCAGAUAUUGAACUGGGUGAGGAUAUAAGCUUCCAAAGCCAGCCUCCAGUGACAUACUUCCUCUGGCAAGAUGCCGCAUAGAUUAUGUAAGCCUGUCAAAACAUGGACCAUCAACUGGGGACCAAGUGUUCAAAUACAUGAUCCCAUGGGGGGCCAUUUCUCACUCAAAAUCGCCACACUGGCUGUAGGUAUCUGACCAACAAGAUGAAAGAUGAAAACUAGUAAUGGUCAGGAAGUAGGGUGGCAGAAAUAUGGGCAGGUUUUUUUUUUUUUUUUUUUUUUGUCAAGAUUUACGGAAGAAUUUAGUGGGGAAAAUUAACCAGAAGAGAGGGAAAGAGUGAAGAGGGGACUGAGAUAGCCAAACCAGUUCCUUGCCAGUGUUGGAGGGAACUCUAGAGACGGUAGCAAAGCAGGUGUCUGGGCCUGAAGAAGUAGGAUCAGGCAGGGUGAAGGCUAGGGGAUUUCAGGGGCCCGUCCAUCCAUGAGCCAUAUCUGACCCUGUAAGUGAGCGGGGCUGUUUAGCCUAGGGGAAGCCUGUGCAUCACAACCAGAAACCGACAAGGUCAGGAAGCUUUUAGGGCCCCACCAAGUCAGAGGGCUACUUCAUCUCCUUGGAUGGACACAGACUUCUUGAUUCACCUGCUCUUCUGACUGGAAUUUGCACAAGUAAGGCCAUAAGCCCUCCAAGGCAUCAAAGGGGCUCCUCUGGGAACAGGUUUGUGUUUUUCAGAAUUCUAUUCCUCAAAAAACCAACACCAACUUAUUAGAGAGAGCUAGCCAGAGAGAGAGAGAGAGAGAGAGAGAGAGAGAGAGAGAGAGAGAGAGGGAUCUGGGUUUAAGUGGGUCAGGCGGUGGGGAAGGUGUUGAAGGGCCAUUUGAGAGAGCCACACUUUGAGCCUGUUUCUUUGCCCCCACAAUGCUCCUUUUCUCUGUGGCAUCUUCUGCUCAGCCCAGCCUGCCAUCAAAUUCUGGAAAUGUCACCACACGAUAUUCAAGCCCCCAGCCGUCUUUGAAUUGCAAGUCAAAACUGUGAGGGUCAGUAAGCAUGGUGCUGUAGUAUUCCUGGCCCUUAGGAGAUAAAACAGGGGGAUCAGGAGUUCAAGGUCGCUCUGGGCUGAAGCCAACUUGGACUACAUGAGACCCUGCCUCAAAAAAACCCAAACAACCAACCAAAUCAAUCAAUCAAUCAAUCAAAAAAUCCCCGAAAAGCCAGGCAGAGUGGGUCUCACCUGGAGUCCCAGCUAUGCAAGAGGCUAAGACAGGAGAAUCAAUGGAGCCCAAGAGUAUGAGACCAGCCUGGAAAAUAUAGCAAGACACCCAGUGUCCAAAAAUAAGCAAAUAAGGCCAGGCGGUGGUGGCGAUCCCUUUAAUCCCAGCAUUCAGGAGGCAGAGGUAGGCAGAUCUCUGUGAGUUGGAGACCAGCCUGGUCUACAAGAGCCAGUUCUAGGACAGCCUCCAAAGCUACAGAGAAACCCUGUCUCGAACACCUCCCCCCAAUAAAAGAAGCAAAUGAGAAAAUGGAAAUAAAACCUAGAGAAAUAUUCUGGUUCCCCAUGUGGGCCACAGGCCACAGCUAUCCUAAAAAAUUCAGAUAAAGUCAGUGAUCAGUGAAUCAGUGAUGGAUCAUCACUGUAGAAAAUGUCACCUGUGAGUCGGGCGGUGGUGGCUCAUGCCUUUAACCCUAGCACUCAGGAGGCAGAGGCAGGCACUCUGUGAGUUUGACACCAGCCUGGUCUACAAGAGCUACUUCCAGGACAGCCU